rnacentral:tRNA from 1 species
GUUUAAAUAGUUUAAUAAAACAUUAGUCUUGUAAACUAAAAUUAAGAUUUAAAUCUUUUUAAACU